UGUGUUUACUGACUGUGUGUGUUCAGGGCCCACCAGGAGUGUGUUUACUGACUGUGUGUUCAGGGCCCACCAGGAGUGUGUUUACUGACUGUGUGUUCAGGGCCCACCAGGAGUGUGUUUACUGACUGUGUGUUCAGGGCCCACCAGGAGUGUGUUUACUGACUGUGUGUGUUCAGGGCCCACCAGGAGUGUGUUUACUGACUGUGUGUGUUCAGGGCCCACCAGGAGUGUGUUUACUGACUGUGUGUUCAGGGCCCACCAGGAGUGUGUUUACUGACUGUGUGUGUUCAGGGCCCACCAGGAGUGUGUUUACUGACUGUGUGUGUUCAGGGCCCACCAGGAGUGUGUUUACUGACUGUGUGUGUUCAGGGCCCACCAGGAGUGUGUUUACUGACUGUGUGUGUUCAGGGCCCACCAGGAGUGUGUUUACUGACUGUGUGUUCAGGGCCCACCAGGAGUGUGUUUACUGACUGUGUGUUCAGGGCCCACCAGGAGUGUGUUUACUGACUGUGUGUGUUCAGGGCCCACCAGGAGUGUGUUUACUGACUGUGUGUGUUCAGGGCCCACCAGGAGUGUGUUUACUGACUGUGUGUUCAGGGCCCACCAGGAGUGUGUUUACUGACUGUGUGUGUUCAGGGCCCACCAGGAGUGUGUUUACUGACUGUGUGUGUUCAGGGCCCACCAGGAGUGUGUUUACUGACUGUGUGUUCAGGGCCCACCAGGAGUGUGUUUACUGACUGUGUGUGUUCAGGGCCCACCAGGAGUGUGUUUACUGACUGUGUGUUCAGGGCCCACCAGGAGUGUGUUUACUGACUGUGUGUUCAGGGCCCACCAGGAGUGUGUUUACUGACUGUGUGUUCAGGGCCCACCAGGAGUGUGUUUACUGACUGUGUGUUCAGGGCCCACCAGGAGUGUGUUUACUGACCGUGUUCAGGGCCCACCAGGAGUGUGUUUACUGACUGUGUGUUCAGGGCCCACCAGGAGUGUGUUUACUGACUGUGUG